AACUGUAUGAAAUCAAAUUACAUACAUGCCUGUUAACUAAAAACGGGUAUCCGUAUGAUGUAAUUUGUUUAUCGAAACACGAAUAUUGUAUGUUUGUGCUUUAAUUAUUAUGGCAAACAGUUGCAAUAGCUGUUUUUGUUGACGAGAUUGUCGGCUUGUGGACCCCGCCUCCUUUUGCAGAUUAACCAAUCAGUAGACGAUCGCCGUCAAAUAGAUGUUUGUAGUUUGCAGAAUGGAAAGAACCUUGCAGCGAAAAUUAUUUUCACUUCUAUGUGAAAAUCUAACCAGAAAACUCCCCUGUCAAUUACAAGAUACAGUAUGCCAUUCCAGCUUUGAUGAAAUAAAGUAAUGGUUUGAUUUGGAGAGCUUUAUUAUUAUAGACAGGGAUGAUGACCUGCAGUAGAAAGUUCCUUAUAA